GCAACAGGCAGCUCUUACAAACCUCUGAGACAGAGUGCAGCACCUGUAAGACAGUACAGACAGACUGUACUACAGACAGACAGUUUGGAGUCAGUAGAGACGGUCCAGUACAGACAUGCAGUAUAAGCGUCUCCUCCCGUGUGUUCUGCUGCUCGCCGCUGACGGACCCCUCCUGACACACCAACGAUAUGUCCUACCCCAGGACAGAGGAGGACCAGGUGGUGAGGCCAGAGGAGCUGUCCCUCUCUGAAAACAACUACAGAUCCCACAGUGCACCUGGCCUUGGCGGUGUUAUUGGAGAAGCCAGCCCUGAACCCUCUAACUCAGUGGUAUUCAAAGUCACGACCGG